CCCAGCGGAGCUGACGGCAGCGGUGGAGGAGGACGAGGUGGAGGAGGAGUUUCGGGCCGUCACCCUGCAGCCUAAAGUGCCGCCGGUCAUCAGUAUCACAGAGGAGGCUGAAGACGGCGGUGCGGCGACCAACACUGUGCAGGCGAGGGCUAGAGCUGCUGAGGACGCCUGCGACAAAAGUAACCGGGCCUGGAUCUCCGGAUCGCCAGGAAGCUGGUUCGUACCAGGCUGCACAUCCGGCUACGAUUCCUCAAUCAAGCUCAGGCUGAGGCUGCCGCCGCGAGGAGAGCAGCCAAACAGGUCCGCCAGCAUGCCCAGAGCUCUGUUAGUUGAGGAAGGUGCUGAAGCAGGAUGUCGGGCUUGAGCGGCUGCUGCUCACAUAGCUGGCUCCGCUUCUGCUCAUCUGGCCACUCAUCUGGUCCUCUGCCGCUCGCCAGGAUGACUCAUCUACUGCUCAUCUACCCCUCGCCUGGCUGACUUAUCUGCCGCUCACCUGGCCGGGUUGUCUGCCGCUCGCCUGGCCGCCCACCACGCGCCUGGCUGGCCCGUCUGCCGCUCGCCUGGCUGGCCUGUCUGCCGCUGAUCUGGCGGACUUGUCCACUGUUCAGGUUCACGUACCGCUCACCUGGCUAGCCUGCCUGCCGCUCGCCUGUCCGUCUGCUGCUCGCCUGGUUGGCUCGUCUGCCGUUCAUCGUGCAGGCUUGUCUGCCGCUCAUCUGGCUGGCUUAUCUACCGCUGAUCUGACCGUCUUCCGCUCACCGCUUAAAGGCUACAAGUACGCCCAAGCUGAUGUGCUGAAGAUUCCGCUGCCUUCUGCGAGCACCUUGUCCUGCUGGACCCGCGCAGUGCGCCUAGAGACUGACACGGCGUUUGUCAGCACUGGUCAGCGGCUGGAGCGUGACAACCUCGGCAACGAAACGUUGGAGGUUCUGCAGAUACAGAUCCAGUUCCAGCGUCCAGUGGAGCUGACGGCAGCGGUGGAGGAGGCGUACCGGGCGGUCACCUUGCAGCCGACAGUACCGCCGGUCAUCGGAGAGCAUGCUGGAGACGGCGGUGCAGCGACCGACACCGGUAAGGCGGUGCCGAAGCUACUGAGGACGUCUGGCUAAAGUGGGAGGGAAUGACAGUGAUCGAGGCGUUCGAGGUGCUCUUCUGCAUCAUCGUGGACGUGGACCGUCUGUGCCUGGUCCUGGAUCCGGGCAUUGUUCGGCGGCUCCUGGAGCUGGUUCGUACCGGGCUGCAUAUCCGACUCAGAUCCCAUAAAUCAAGCGCAAGCUGCUGAAACUGUCGCCGCCUGGGAGCAGCCAAACAGGUCCGUCAGCGUGUCUGGAGUUCUGUGGUAGAAGAAGCUGAGACAUCUGAAUGUCAGUUUUGACCGGCGUGUGAUAGCCAGACUCAUUGCUGCCCUCCUAUCGACGCGCCGUGAGGUGUGACUAGCGACCAUUGGGCGGCUGUGCGGGUGACGUGUCCGCCGGAGCCGAGUGCCUGGCCUAGUCGGGAGAUUCAACUGUGAUUGCCAGGCUUAGUGCUGUCCUAUGAAUGUGUAGGUACUGAUGUGCAGUGUUGAUUAUGCUAUAUUAUUGAUUUAUAUAAUGACGGUUACCAUU